rnacentral:lncRNA from 1 species
CCCUGCAUAUUUGAAUCAACCCUAUUGAUCAACCUUUGAUCCUUGAUCUUCCCUUUCCUCUUUUUUUUUAUUUUUCUUUCUUGAUCUUGGAGCAAUCAAGAAGUACAAAUCAGAUUUGUGAAGAGGGGAUGCCCAACUUUCUUGGGCAGUUGAGAUGGUGGGAUGCCCAAUUAAUUUGGAUGGGAGAACUAAAGGCUGCGUGAAGA